GCCCGGCCCGGCCCUGAGGCCGCCGGCUCUGCCACGUCUCCCGGGGGGUGGCCGGUAGCCGCCCGCGGCUCCCACAGAGCUGGGUUAUUUCGCGUUGUUUCUAAACUCCUCCGUGAAGAUCGCGGCCGCUACGGAAGCAGUCGGGCGGUGCCCGCGGGCAAGGAUGUCCCCGGCGGCUGGUGCGGAGUCCCUAAGGACCCGCUUGCGAUGUGUACACCUCGCUAAGGUGCAGGCAGCCGCGCUGGUCCCUCACCAGCUACUCUCAUUUAACUGGAUUUAAACCAGGGGGCGGCUCGGACAGUCAGUGUUCUUCUCGGAUGAAGAUCCACGGCGUUUCAGGAGCACCAGCACUGUGGAGAUCUUCGUUUUGCUGCCUGAAGGUGUUGCACAGGAUGUUUCUGUAGAGAGAAGAAAACCCUGAGAAUACCUCAUUGUUUUCCUCAGCCCAUCAGCUUUGCUUAGCUGGGAGUCCAGGCUGGGUGACAAAGGGAUGGCAACUCCUCCAAAGAGUUCAAUGGCAGCGGGGACAGUUUUGGAGCUGAACAUGUCAAAAAGAGAAAUUUGCCUGGUUCUGAUUCAUCAGAAGAGAUCAGGAGGGCUGUUAAGCAGUGUCUGUCAUUGUCUUCAGGUGCUCUUGACAUCAGCAGAAGGAAUAUUCAGCAUCUUUCUAAGGAAAUUUAUCUAGUGCCCUGCAUAAAGUACCUUCACCUGGAAAGAAAUCUCAUCUCCAUCAUUCCUGAGGAUUUCUUCCAGAAGCUGCCACACCUGAUCUGGCUGGAUCUGCGCUGGAACAGGGUUAGAGCUCUGCUCCCUGGCAUUGGCUG